UACGGAGGGAGCUAGCGUUGUUCGGAAUUACUGGGCGUAAAGCGCGCGUAGGCGGCUUUGUAAGUUAGAGGUGAAAGCCCGGGGCUCAACCCCGGAAUUGCCUUUAAGACUGCAUCGCUUGAAUCCGGGAGAGGUGAGUGGAAUUCCGAGUGUAGAGGUGAAAUUCGUAGAUAUUCGGAAGAACACCAGUGGCGAAGGCGGCUCACUGGACCGGCAUUGACGCUGAGGCGCGAAAGCCAGGGGAGCAAACGGG
rnacentral:rRNA from 1 species